rnacentral:rRNA from 1 species
CCUACGGGCGGCAGCAGUAGGGAAUGUUGCGCAAUGGGCGAAAGCCUGACGCAGCAACGCCGCGUGAUCGAGACGAACUUCGGGGUGUAAAGAUCUGUGAGUGGGGACGAAACGUGACGGGACCCACAGAGGAAGCACCGGCUAACUCCGUGCCAGCAGCCGCGGGAAUACGGGGGGGGCAAGCGUGGUCCGGAAUCAUUGGGCGUAACGCGUUCGUAGGCGGCACGUAAAGUCUGGUGUGAACGGCAGAGGCUCACCUUCGGUACGGCACUGGAUACUUGCGCGCUAGAUUGCGGUAGAGGUAACGGGAAUUUCUGGUGUAGCGGUGAAAUGCUUAGAUAUCAGGAGGAACCUCGGUGGCGUACGCGCUUUACUGGGCCGUAAUUGCCGCUGAGGCACGAACGCCCGGGUAGCAAAUUGGAUUAGAUACCCCUGUAGUC